CUUCCUUAGCUGUAGGUCUGCACCACAAACGGAAGGAAUCCGAUGACGUCACACUCUUCUCAUCACUUAGUCCCGACGGCGUGGAGGAUAGCGGAGCGAAAGAGAGAGCGCUGCCCUUUCGCCACGAUCACAGUAUCCAGGCACAGAUAACCGAUGGUUUGCACGUACUUGCUUCCGGGAAAUCGGGAAAAUAUACGAGCUUCCCUCUAGCUCAAAUUCAGCCAUUUUGGACCAGCUCUGUUGGGGAAGACGUUCACUGGAAAGCAUUGCAGAAACAAGUACCUUCGGAGAUUCAGGUAAUAUCCUAAGCACACAUAUUCAGCAUUAGGUGCUCUUCAUUUUGCAGGUAUAAUUGAACAGAAAGCCGGAACUUUUUUGGAAAUGUAAAUAAACAAAACUGCUCCUAUUGAGCUGAAAUAAACCACACAUAGUAAAAUAUUCUCAAUUUUUUGCAAGUGGGAUGGGAAUGGAAGGAGGGCCUUCAAAGCAUGGACUUCGAGAGCAGCAAGAGGUGCAAUGGUACACGAAAAACAAACGCCGAAACUUGGCUCAGAAAACACGUCUUGCCUUUUUUUUUCCAUGAUUGGU